rnacentral:rRNA from 1 species
UACGAAGGGGGCUAGCGUUGCUCGGAAUCACUGGGCGUAAAGCGCACGUAGGCGGAUUGUUAAGUCAGGGGUGAAAUCCUGGAGCUCAACUCCAGAACUGCCUUUGAUACUGGCGAUCUCGAGUCCGGAAGAGGUGAGUGGAACUGCGAGUGUAGAGGUGAAAUUCGUAGAUAUUCGCAAGAACACCAGUGGCGAAGGCGGCUCACUGGCCCGGUACUGACGCUGAGGUGCGAAAGCGUGGGGAGCAAACAGG